rnacentral:lncRNA from 1 species
CGGCGAUUGCGCCUGGGGGCUAUUUUUAGGCCCCCCGGCUCGGGUUGCGAGGGAGCCGUGGAGGGAGGGGGCAGCAGGGGAGGGACUUGACUCCACUUGGCUCCUUCUCUCCCUCCAGGAGCCCCCAUCGCCGGCCCGGCUUAAGGGAGUCCCUCGGUAUUUGUUCCAGGCUUUCCCCUCCGUAGUGUGCCUGGCCCCCACACGACCCACUGCAGGGAGUCAGGUUACCCCUGGGCUCAAUCCCAUUUCCCUUCCUCCCUCAUCUCAGACCCCUCAUCCCUGCCCGGCUUCGCUGGGAGGGGAAGAAGAGGAACGGUCCUGGUGAGAUGCCUGAGAGGUGGAUGGGGAGGCAGGCCCAAGUGGAGGUGAGCAGACAGCUCCGAAGAGGGACCAUGGCCUCCCCCAGCGCCUCCAUUACAGCUGGCGAACAGGGGCGCCACUACACAGCUUUAAGCGGCAGAAAAAACACGGUGGGAGCUGUGUCUUAGGAGGAUCCUCUUGGCGGCCACAAAGUGGAGGAUGGAUAGAAAUGACGGCCAGUUCAAGUAAAGGCCAGAUUCCCAGCCUCCUUGCCCCACACUGGUUCAGCAGCUGAGCUGGGAGGAAUCUGCACAUUUAACAAAUGACUCAACUGAUUCUGAUGUGCCUAAGUGUUGCACGUUGAGAAACAUCAAGAGUCCAGAUGAGACCUUUGUGAUAGAACAGUUCUGUAUCUUGGCUGGGCGCGGUGGCUAACACCUGUAAUUCCAGCACUUUGG